GAUAAAUUUAGCUCUACCCACAACCCAUUGCAGCCCUUCACUGCCCAUGGGCCCUGUCCCCAUGCUAUUCUCUGAAUAAAAGAGCACUACUACCAGACCUUGAGAGUCCAAGAAAUCUUUCUUUCAACUCCUCUGCUUCCCGAGCACACAUCAUUUUUUCUGGUGGCCCGCAUGGGGAUCUUGAUUCACCGGCUUGUGAGCUUAAGUUCUGAGAUUCCAGCAAUGUUACCUGGUAAGCAAGGAAACUCACUUAUCUGGCAGGUGCCUAGAACCUUGAAAUAUUUUGGAGGACCUCAAGAGGAGAGGAAUUCAUCCAAAUCUUUCAUUAAAUGUAGAACUCCUUCAAAUGGAUUUCCUUUAUUCAUCCUCUCCCUGGAAAACCUCAGUAAAGUUCUCUUGGCAGUGAUUCUUCACAUCCUGAAUAUUCUUCUUGAAGUCUCUACCUGAAUGACCAUCCAUCACUGUUCAGCAUCAAAAAAGAGGGCAAUCCUACCAUUUACAACAACAUAGAUGGACCUGGAAGACAUGCUAAAUGAAGUAAAUCCAUCACAGAAAGACAAAUACCGCAUAAUUCCACUUAUAUGAGUUUAUCCAAAAUAGUUAAACUUAAUGGAGGCAGAAAAUAGAACGGCAAUUUCCAAGUGAUGGCGGGAGGGGGAGAUGAGGAGUUGCUGUUCAAUGAGUCCUGCACCAGAUUCUCUUUAACUGGCUUCUGGUCUUGGAUGCUCCACCUCAAUGAACACAUGCAAAUGAGAUAAACAGCAAUUUGUGGCCCACUUAUCAGUGGUCUAGAAUGCCCCAUCUUGGGGGAAGGCUCACAUGCAGUUUAGAAGGGUUCUGAUUGUGAAGGGGAAGAAUGUGAGUUGUACAGGCAAUCAUUUCUUUUAGAUCACCAGCUCUAGAUACUUCCUGAGCUCUAAUGGUCCAUUACUUCUUGGAUUGAUUCUGAUUGAAUCAAGAUAAUUAAUAAAACAUAUUAUCUAUAUUAUUUUAAUUGUUAUACUUCCAUCUAUUGCCGUUUGGAAGUGCUAUGGUCUGAAAUAAUGCUGAAGCUCCUACUCCAGAUAUCUGGUGUAAAUUGGCCUGAAUUCAUGUUAGUUUGCUCUCUGUGCCCACUUUACAUCCUGGGAGUUUCCAGACUGCCAUGACGAGUCUUAGAAUAAAGUGAAUUGGCUCUAACUUGCCUAAAAAUUAUAGUACAUUGAUUUAGGAAGGAAUUUAAGACCCUCCACUUCUUGGUUCAUCCUGCCCCUUUCCAGCCCUUAGUAUUAUUUUCCCUUUCAUGCUCCAGUCACAAAAGAAUUCUUGGAGUUUUUUUUCCCUGUAGAUUUAUGCAAGUCCUCAAUAAAUACUUAGUGAGUGAAUGAGUGAAUAUUUCUUGAAGGUAUUACUCAUUUUACGUUUCCUUGGCACUUCAGAUUAUUUUAUGCCUUUAGAGUUAAAUGCAUUCCUUUCACCUUAAGUCCAAACUAAAUGCAAUUUCAUCAUAAAGCUUUAUCACUUCCC
rnacentral:lncRNA from 1 species